GGGGCGGCCGCACUUCCUGACGCGAGACCCGCGCUCGCCGCCGCCCGCCCAGGCGGCGAUGACACGGCGCCCGCGGCGGCCCCGAGGCGCCGGGCGGGCCGUUUGCUGACCGGAUCGCGGCUGCCCGCCAGCGUGUCCGCCGCGCCGCCGCCAGCAUGGGCUGCGCACCGAGCAUCCACAUUUCCGAGGGCCGGGCGGCGUACCACGGCGGCAAGGAGGCCGAGGACGCGCCGGGCGCCGCCGCCGCGCCGCCGCCGCCCGCCGGGCCGCGCCUCCCACCCGGCCAGAAGACCACCGCCUCGCCCGGGGCCCGCGGUGCCGGCCUCGCGGAGUCCGAGCCUCGCGACGGCAGCGGCAGGAAGGUAGCCAUUGCUGAUGUGCAGUUUGGCCCCAUGAGAUUUCAUCCAGAUCAACUCCAGGUACUUUUAGUGUUUACCAAAGAAGAUAACCAGUGUAAUGGAUUCUGCAGGGCGUGUGAAAAAGCAGGGUUUAAGUGCACAGUUACCAAGGAGGCCCAGGCUGUCCUUGCCUGUUUCCUGGACAAGCAUCACGACAUCAUCAUCAUAGACCACAGAAACCCCCGACAGCUGGACGCGGAGGCCCUGUGCAGGUCUAUCAGGUCAUCAAAACUCUCCGAAAACACAAUUAUCAUUGGUGUAGUACGCAGGACGGAUAGAGAAGAGUCCUCUGUGAUGCCCCUCAUUGCUGCUGGCUUUACAAGGAGGUAUGUGGAAAACCCCAGCCUCAUGGCCUGUUACAACGAACUGCUCCAGCUGGAGUUCGGAGAGGUGCGGUCCCAGCUGAAACUCAGGGCUUGUAACUCAAUAUUCACUGCACUGGAGAAAAGUCAAGAAGCAGUUGAAAUUACAAGUGAAGACCGCGUUAUACAGUAUGCAAAUCCUGCGUUUGAAACAACCAUGGGCUAUCAAGCAGGCGAACUAAUAGGCAAGGAGUUAGCGGAAGUGCCUGUAAAUGAAAAAAAGGCUGAGUUGCUCGAUACCAUAAAUUCAUGCAUCAGGAUAGGCAAGGAGUGGCAAGGAAUUUACCAUGCCAAAAAGAAAAAUGGAGACAACGUACAACAGAACGUGAAGAUAGUACCUGUCGUCGGACAGGGAGGAAAAAUUAGACACUAUGUGUCCAUUAUCAGAGUGUGCAAUGGCAACAAUAAGGCCGAGAAAAGAACUGAAAGUGUUCAGUCUGACCCUCACACAGAUAAUCAGUCAGGCAAACACAAAGACAGAAGGAAAAGCUCGCUCGAUGUCAGAGCUGUUGCCUCUCGAGCAAGUGAAGUCAGCAGCCAGAGACGGCACUCCUCCAUGGCCCGGAUACAUUCCAUGACGAUCGAGGCGCCCAUCACCAAGGUAAUCAACAUUAUCAACGCUGCCCAGGAAAGCAGCCCCAUGCCUGUGACAGAAGCCUUAGACCGUGUGCUGGAGAUUCUGAGAACCACUGAAUUGUAUUCGCCACAGUUCGGUGCUAAGGACGAUGAUCCUCAUGCCAAUGACCUUGUUGGAGGCUUAAUGUCUGAUGGUUUGCGAAGACUAUCCGGGAAUGAAUAUGUUCUUUCAACAAAAAGCCUGCAGCAGGUGCCCGGCAGUGUUGUCACCCCCAUCUCCCUUCACGACGUCCCUCCCCGGAUAGCUCGGGCUAUGGAAAAUGAAGAGUACUGGGACUUUGAUAUUUUUGAACUGGAGGCCGCCACACAUAAAAGGCCUUUGAUCUAUCUUGGUCUCAAAAUGUUUGCGCGCUUUGGAAUCUGUGAAUUCUUGAACUGCUCUGAGGCGACGCUGAGAUCGUGGCUGCAAAUUAUUGAAGCCAAUUACCAUUCUUGUAACCCCUACCACAAUUCCACACACUCUGCCGACGUGCUUCAUGCCACUGCCUAUUUCCUCUGCAAAGAGAGGAUAAAGCAAACGUUAGAUCCGGUUGACGAGGUCGCUGCCCUCAUUGCAGCCACCAUCCACGACGUGGACCACCCCGGGAGGACCAACUCCUUCCUGUGCAAUGCCGGCAGCGAGCUGGCCCUCCUGUACAACGACACUGCCGUGCUGGAGAGCCACCACGCGGCCCUGGCCUUCCAGCUGACCACCCGCGAUGACAAAUGCAAUAUCUUCAAAAACAUGGAGAGGAAUGACUAUCGGACGCUGCGCCAGGGUAUUAUCGAUAUGGUCUUGGCCACGGAAAUGACAAAACACUUCGAGCACGUCAACAAAUUUGUCAACAGCAUCAACAAGCCCCUGGCGGCACUAGAAGAAAAUGAGGAAACGAAUAAAGACGAAGAAGCCAUAAACACUAUGCUCCGGACUCCAGAGAACCGGACUCUGAUUAAACGGAUGCUCAUCAAGUGUGCGGACGUGUCCAAUCCCUGCCGACCGCUGGAGCAGUGCAUCGAGUGGGCCGCACGCAUAUCAGAAGAAUAUUUUUCUCAGGCCUGGUGUGGGAGGACGGCCGCUGUGUGUCCACGUGGGGAUCUGACAGGAGCGCCAGCAAGAGGCUCCAGACGGAUGAGGAGAAGCAGCAGGACUUGCCCGUGGUGAUGCCGGUUUUUGACAGAAACACCUGCAGCAUCCCCAAAUCCCAGAUCUCUUUCAUUGACUACUUCAUCACGGACAUGUUUGAUGCCUGGGACGCCUUUGUCGACCUGCCUGAGCUAAUGCAGCAUCUUGACAACAACUUCAAAUACUGGAAAGGACUGGACGAGAUGCAGCUGCGGAGCCUCCGGCCGCCCCCUGAAUAGCGUGGCCCGCCGCCGGUUCGAAGCUCCGUCCCUCUGCGCGCUGGGGGUUCCCGCACGCACCCAGAUCCCCGGUCCUUUCGGUAUUAGGGCAAACAGGGCCCAAGGCCGCAGAGCCUGUGAACACGCGUGGGGACAUCGCUGGCCUCCCGCAGCCACCGGCCGACGCCAUCGCCACCAAGUGUCCAUACCCGGCCCGCGGCGGGGGGGGCCUCUUCAGAAAGUCACAGGAGAACGGGUUGGCGCUGGCUUUCCUUACAGCGACCUUGGCGUGACCCUGCAGACGACGUUGAUGGAUUUCUUGUUGCAAACAAUUUCUCUCAACCGUGUCCAGCACUUAGGAACAGCCAACGGCAAUCGGCAAUCGGAGCUUUAGCAACUUUUUUCACAUCAUAGAAGGUGCAAUCACUCGCUUUGGAACACUACUGAAAGUGACUUCUCUUUUGAAACCGAGUAGCAAAUGAAAAAUACAAAGAAAUUUUGAAGUUGAUUCGUAAAGAAAUUUUGAAGUUGAUUAAUAUCGAUUAAAAGUUUUAUUUAUUUUAUUAGAAGUUCAAUAUUUUCUAUGAAUUUUAAAAUACUUCAAAGCCAAAGCCCACUUUAAAUGCCAUGACCAAAAUUACAUGAUUCGUAUUCAUUAAAUAUGUAUUACUUGGGUGUACAGACUUAUUUUCAUAAUGCAAAUUAAGACUAUAAAAUGACACAUUUUUACUGCACUACAGAAAUACUUGUGUAUGUUAAACUCGUUUCUGAUUGAAGCUAAUUGAGAAAAGCUGUCUUUUGGGGGGGGAGGGGGGUCUGAGUCUAGAGCAUGAGAGGAGAGACUCCUGUAUAGAAACCAGGGUUCUGAAACUGCUCUAGCCAUCUGAUGAGCUUGGUGCUCCCCAAAGUACACGAAAUUAAGACCUAACACUUUUUUCCUAAAAUUUUAUCAUUGAAUUCCCAAAAGUCUGCCUUAUUUUAUAGUGUUUCUACAAGAUAUUCCCUAUGCGAGAACAAAAAUGGAAUAUUUAGUGAAAUGACAUUUUAUAACCAGUCUGUUUUCAUCUGAGGUGGGAAUCUUCGAUUCCAGAAAUUUAUAAAGGGUCUGUAUCUUCCGUCUUGAGUAAGUGUAGUACCGUGAAAAAUGACACACGAUGACACAUGAUGUCAGAGUGCUUGUCACCUCAUUUUAAAGUUGUAUUUUUUUCCCAGAUAAAAAUGAAAUUAAACUAUUUGUUUUUAAGAAA